CCCCGGGCUCAACCUGGGAACUGCGUUNUGAACUGGGUGACUAGAGUGUGUCAGAGGGAGNUAGAAUUCCACGUGUAGCAGUGAANUGCGUAGAGAUGUGGAGGAAUACCGAUGGCGAAGGCAGCCUCCUGGGAUAACACUGACGUUCAUGCCCGAAAGCGUGGGUAGCAAACAGGAUUAGAUACCNUGGUAGUCCACGCCCUAAACGAUGUCGAUUAGCUGUUGGGCAGCAUGUCUGCUUAGUAGCGAAGCUAACGCGUGAAAUCGACCGCCUGGGGAGUACGGUCGCAAGAUUAAAACUCAAAGGAAUUGACGGGGACCCGCACAAGCGGUGGAUGAUGUGGAUUAAUUCGAUGCAACGCGAAGAACCUUACCUGGUCUUGACAUGUGCGGAACCCUCCAGAGACGGAGGGGUGCCUUCGGGAGCCGUAACACAGGUGCUGCAUGGCUGUCGUCAGCUCGUGUCGUGAGAUGUUGGGUUAAGUCCCGCAACGAGCACAACCCUUGUCAUUAGUUGCCAUCAUUAAGUUGGGCACUCUAAUGAGACUGCCGGUGACAAGCCGGAGGAAGGUGGGGAUGACGUCAAGUCCUCAUGGCCCUUAUGACCAGGGCUUCACACGUCAUACAAUGGUCGGUACAGAGGGUAGCCAAGCCGCGAGGUGGAGCCAAUCUCACAAAACCGAUCGUAGUCCGGAUUGCACUCUGCAACUCGAGUGCAUGAAGUCGGAAUCGCUAGUAAUCGCAGGUCAGCAUACUGCGGUGAAUACGUUCCCGGGUCUUGUACACACCGCCCGUCACACCAUGGGAGUGGGGGAUACCAGAAGUAG
rnacentral:rRNA from 1 species